AUCUUACAAAAACCAUUUGUUUUUUGUCCGAUCCGACGGCUUUAAAAGGUGUUUUGUAAGAGAUGGACGGCUUUCAUUGAUCUCAAAAUGUAGAAAAACGAAGGAGACAAAUCGUGGCUUAAAAUGCACCUUUCUUCUACGCGCUCAUCCAACGUCUCAAAUUCGACUUCUUCUCUCUUAAUUAGUUAAUUUCCAUCUGUAACGCCUGCCAUUACUAGGGUUUUAAUUUUGCUCCAGCUUUUCAUCCAUAACGGGUGAAAUCAAUAAGCACCAUUAUUAUUCAUGUUGAUUCAAACCUGAAUGCGUUACCAAAAUAGAAGAUACCCAUUAACAAUACCUCUAUUUCUGCUUACCAAUCAUGUUCGACUAUAUAAACCCCCCAAAAGUUAUCUUGCACAGUUUUUCAGUGGUUACCCAUCUCAUUUUUGUCUAUCAAGAUUUAUGCAUAUGGAUUAAUCGGUCACUAGAGAUGCGUGCUUCUCUCAUCAGCGGUUUUGAUUGUUCAUCAAUACAAAGAUUGGUGUCCUGAUUUGGGUGUUUCUGCACUUAUCAAUAACAACACCAAACCAGAAUCAUCAUCAAUAGAAAAUGAAAAUGAAAAUGAAAUUUCUUGGCUAGGAAACUCAUAUAAGGAACAAAGAUUUUACACUUAGUGUAGCUACUGUCAACGUCAUGAUGGGGAAUUUCUUGGAUGGUAGCAGAGGCUCUUAGUGCCUACAAAAGUUAAGGUAUAUAUGCACCAUUCCGGAAAUCUGUCUUCUAUUGAAGUCUUCUCUGUUGUGAAUUUUAAGAGCUUGAUGGUUUUGUUUACCCUCAUCAUGUUUUUACAUUCGGAUCUACAUUAUGUGUACUGAUCGUUAAUGUUUGUUAUAGGAUUUUUAUGUAUCAAUCUGGACCAGUUCUUGAUCAUUGUUUAGAUAAAGGUUUUGUUUUUCUCUUUAAGUUGUUUUUUUAAAAGAUGAAGAAGACCGAAUGAAAGACCAAAAAGUAGCAGACAUGAAGGAAGAACACUUGGGGCAAUUACAACAAUAAAAUGGACCCAACAAAACAGUGUAAGGAUAUGCAACCUAUAAGUGGAAGAUAAAAAGCUAGCAAAAGAAAUCAACAUGAAGUGCAAGCCAAGCACCCAGAAUAACAGUCCACCAAUCCUAUUUAGACCAUCAUGUAGAUUUUGUUUAUAUUUUUUUCAUUAAUUUGAAUGUAUAUCCCUAAGGCGUGGGUGGAUGGAUUAGCGGUAGUUUCCCUCUAUCUUUCACCGGUGAGAAGAGGGAAGGGAAAAAUAUACCCAGACACUUAUGUUUUUACAAAACACAGUGCAAUAAAGUUUCUCAACCUGUGGUUUGCAAUU